CUUGUGUCUCAACACAGCAGAUUAUGUUCCCUCAGUUCCACCAUUCUAUUUCCAACAUCUGGACCACAUUGGAAGAAGACUGGACCACUAUGAGAAACCAGAGUUAUCUCUAGGAUCUUAUGAAUAUGUUGCCACUUUGGAUUAUUGCAGACAGUACUCACAAUAGCCAAAAGGAGGAAGCAACCAGGUGUCUAUGGAAGAAGAAUGGAUAAGCAAAAUGUGGUAUAUACGUACAAUGGAAUAUCAUUCAGCCUCAAAAAGGAAGAAAAGUCUGACCCAUGCUACAACAUGGAUGAAUGUUGAGGAUGUUAUGCUAAGUAAAAUAAGCCAGCCACAAAAAGGAUAAAUAUGGAAUGAUUCUAUAUGAGGUCACUAAAGUUGUUUGCCUGUGGCUCUCUUUUCUAAAUAUUUUGUAAGAUGCAACUGAAGGAUCACUUCCUAAAAGCUGUUUGAACACCAGCCAGUAAAGGGACCAACAACUAAAAAACAUGUUCGUAGCAGCUGCUUUAUGUCACAGUGAUUAUUUUAAACAGAUAAAGAAAAGGCCUGACGUUCUAUGUUACCACAAAUAUGUAAAAAACUAGAAGAGUAAGCCUCCCAACCCACCAGCCUUUAUCUUCAUGAUUGAUGUUUCAUAUAGUAACAUAAAGAAUGGACUUGUCAAGCUCAUAUGUGAAGAACUGAAGACCAUGCUGGAAAAAAUUCCAAAGGAAGAGCAAGAAGAGACGUCUGCAAUUCGAGUGGGUUUUAUCACGUAUAACAAAGUUCUCCAUUUCUUUAAUGUGAAGAGUAAUCUGGCCCAGCCUCAGAUGAUGGUGGUGACUGAUGUUGGAGAAGUCUUUGUUCCUUUGUUGGAUGGUUUCCUUGUCAACUAUCAAGAAUCCCAAUCUGUGAUUCAUAAUUUGUUGGACCAGAUUCCAGACAUGUUUGCAGACUCUAAUGAAAAUGAGACUGUCUUUGCUCCUGUCAUCCAGGCUGGCAUGGAAGCACUAAAGGCAGCAGACUGUCCUGGGAAGCUGUUCAUCUUCCAUUCUUCCUUGCCAACUGCUGAAGCACCAGGGAAGCUCAAAAACAGAGAUGACAAAAAACUGGUUAAUACAGACAAAGAGAAGAUACUUUUCCAGCCCCAAACAAAUGUCUAUGACUCAUUGGCCAAGGACUGCGUGGCUCACGGCUGCUCUGUGACACUCUUCCUCUUUCCUAGUCAGUAUGUGGACGUGGCCUCGCUGGGGCUGGUUCCUCAGCUCACUGGAGGAACCCUUUACAAAUACAACAAUUUCCAGAUGCACUUGGAUAGACAACAAUUUUUGAACGACCUCAGAAAUGAUAUUGAAAAGAAAAUAGGCUUUGAUGCUAUUAUGAGGGUUCGUACCAGCACAGGUUUCAGAGCCACUGAUUUCUUUGGUGGAAUCUUGAUGAACAACACCACCGAUGUAGAAAUGGCUGCCAUCGAUUGUGACAAGGCAGUGACCGUGGAGUUCAAGCACGAUGACAAACUCAGUGAAGACAGUGGAGCCUUAAUCCAGUGUGCUGUGCUUUACACGACAAUCAGUGGUCAAAGAAGACUUCGGAUUCACAAUCUUGGCUUAAACUGCAGCUCCCAGCUAGCUGAUCUUUAUAAGAGCUGUGAGACAGAUGCUCUUAUCAACUUCUUUGCCAAGUCAGCUUUUAAAGCAGUUCUCCACCAGCCUUUGAAGGUCAUCCGGGAAAUUCUAGUUAAUCAGACUGCCCAUAUGUUGGCAUGUUACCGGAAGAAUUGUGCAAGUCCUUCUGCAGCAAGCCAGUUCACUUGUGAAAAAUAAUAUCUAUGAAGAUGGAGAGAUUCCUAAAGGAAUUCCACUAUUUUACCAUAGAGCCCAAAGUUUCCUUGACCCAAGCAAGACCAUCAAGGAGCUAUCUGGAUUGUAUGAUACUGGACCUCAGUAGAACUACUUUUACUGAAUUGCUGGAGCCAAAACUAGGCUGCAGCAAGAGAAGGCAAUUAGGGUACAAAAUCUAAGGAAGCUGUCAUUCUGAGGAUCAUAUGAUAGAUGCUGGGUUAAGACAUAUGGCUGGGCAUGGUGGCUCAUGCCUGUAAUCCCAGCCCUUUGAGAGGCCAAGGCAGGUGGAUCACUUGAGGUCAGGAGUUCAAGACCAGCCUGGGCAACAUGGUGAAACCCCACAUCUACUAAAAAUACAAUAACAGCUGGGCGUGGUGGCAUAGACCUCUAAUCCCAGUUACUUAGGAGGCUGAGGCAGGAGAAUAGCUUGAACCCAGGAGGUAGACGUUGCAGUGAGCCGAGAUCAUGCCACUCGACUCCAGCGUGGGCAAAAAAAAAAAAAAAAAAGACAUAUAACUAGAAACAAGAUAAAUUAGGUUGGGUGCAGUGGCUCACACUUGUAAUCCUAGCACUUUGGGAGGCCAAGACAGGAGGAUUGCUUGAGGCCAGCAGUUGAAGGCCAGCCUGGGCAACAUAUCGAAACCUCCACCUCUACUAAAAAUAAAAACUUAGCCAGGUGUAGUGGUACAUGCCUAUAAUCCCAGCCACUCAGGAGGCUGAGGCAAGAGGAUCCCUGGAACCCAGGAGCUUGAGGAUGCAGCGAGCUAUGAUUGUGCCACCAUACUCUAGCCUGGAUGACAAACUUAUUCUACCAGAUUCCAUGAAAGUAUUGCCAGUGUACAUGAAUUGCUUGUUGAAAAACUGUGUGCUACUCAGCAGACCAGAGAUCUCAACUGAUGAACGAGCAUACCAGAGACAGCUGGUCAUGACCAUGGGUGUGGCUGACUCUCAGCUUUUCUUCUACCCACAACUUCUGCCCAUACACACGUUAGAUGUCAAGAGUACAAUGUUACCUGCUGCUGUUCGUUGCUCUGAGUCCCGUCUUUCAGAAGAAGGAAUAUUCUUACUGGCUAAUGGCCUACACAUGUUCCUGUGGUUGGGAGUAAGCAGCCCACCAGAACUGAUCCAAGGAAUAUUUAAUGUGCCAUCUUUUGCACAUAUCAACACAGACAUGACAUUGCUGCCUGAAGUGGGAAACCCAUACUCUCAACAACUCAGAAUGAUAAUGGGUAUUAUCCAACAAAAGAGGCCAUAUUCAAUGAAGCUCACAAUCGUAAAGCAGCGAGAACAACCAGAAAUGGUUUUCCGACAGUUCCUGGUAGAAGACAAAGGACUUUACGGAGGCUCUUCUUAUGUGGAUUUCCUUUGUUGUGUUCACAAGGAGAUCUGUCAGCUGCUUAAUUAAUUGAAACUUCUCUGUCAUUGAUGUUGCAUUUCCAAGGAGAUAAUCUCCUUCUUGGUGCCUAAUUUUCUAGAUGAUAAUAGGCUAGUUUUGAUUUCUUGCUCAUUUUCAGAAUAACUUUCCAGGAAGAGACGGCAUUUAGAACUUCAGCUUUGGUGCUCAGGUAUAAAGCCAAUUAAGGUACAAUUGUACCAUAAAGGGAACAAUCUGUUUCUGAUUGCACAGUUUCUAAUUUUUAAAACUGAUGUGGUUUGCAUUUCAUAAAAGGCAAAGUUUACAGAACCAUAAACAUUCUCAAUUUUCUUUAUGCUAGAUAUAUAAAUUAUUUUUCAAACUGUAUAGAUUUGGGGUAAAAAGUUGUCUCAGUUCCUCUCCCAAUUGCAAUGAGAAAAAAAAGCUUAAUUUUUACAUUAUACUUAAUUUUCUAAAACCAUGUAACUCCAUUGAACACAUUUUUCAACUUAAGGUCUGCAUAGCAGACUUUUAAUAACCUUGGGAUUUAUCUGGUAGAACAAUAUGUGUUCUACAUUUUUUUCAUAAUUAUAUAUUGUGUAUGUUAAAACUAUUUUCCAGUUGUUUUGUCUGUAAAACUGUCUUUAUCAAUAUGCUUAAUGGUUCUUUGUACAAUUUUGAAAGUUUCUACCUGUAUAUAAUGGAUCUUAACCAGUAUCAAUAAAUCACUUCGUAU
rnacentral:sRNA from 1 species